rnacentral:tRNA from 1 species
AGUGUAGCUCAAUUGGUAGAGCACCGGUCUCCAAAACCGGGGGUUGGAGGUUCGAGUCCUCUCACU